UCUUCUUCCUUUUUUUUUUUUUUAGGUAGAAUUCAUUAUAAAGCCAUAAAAAUGGCAAAAGGCUGAUAUGUGCACAAUCUAAAGAACAGUCCUCAUGUGAUUCUUUCGAGUACAUCUGACGUUGUCCAUUAUAAUUUGCGCCUAACUGUUUGGAUGAUCUGUGAUUAAAUUUCUAAUUUUCUUUUAGACUAGAUUACAUGCUGAUCGUUUCUUAUUCCAAGCUCAGAACACCAAAAUUGGUAUAAUAAUGGAUCAUCGAUUUCUCACAAUUACUGGGGAAUGAUUUUUGUCUCCUCUUCGGUCUGGCGAUCACGAUUAUUGAGGGAUGAUUUUUUGAUCCCCUGUGUUUUUGGAUUUUGUUCAUAAAGAAAAUUUAGCUGCUUUUAACAGCAGCCGUUAGUCAACCACCUGAGCUUAACCCAAGUGAUAAAUUUAGGGAUAGGUUAGGGAUUAGGCGUGGGCAGGGAUGGAAGUGGUCGUUACCCCCUUUUAUAAUCUCACUCACUUGAAGUUAGAAGGGGGAAGAAAUCAGGAGAUUCUAAGGUUUUAUCUUUAACCUCUCGUUCUCAAGCCUGGAGUGGUGGCCAACUAGCUGUCUGAUUUUGCUGAUUGUUGGUGCUCUGUCAACUCCACCAGAUGUUGGAGUGCCAAAAUUAAUUACUUUGAUAGGUCGUGCCCUUGUGCAUUUUGUUGUCAUCUUGUAGGGUUGUGGAAAGUGUAGGGGAGGACGUAGAUGAGGUAAAGGAGGGUGACACAGUCAUUCCCACAUUCAUGUCAGAUUGUGGAGAUUGUACAGAUUGCAGAUCAAAGAAGAGCAACCUUUGUUCAAAACUGCCCUUCAAGGUCUCUCCUUGGAUGCCAAGAUAUGAGUCGAGUAGAUUCACAGACCUAAAUGGAGAGGUUUUAUACCAUUUCCUCUUUGUGUCCAGCUUUAGUCAGUAUACAGUGGUAGACGUUGCCCAUCUUACAAAGAUCGAUCCUUCAAUCCCACCACACAGAGCAUGCCUUCUCAGCUGCGGAGUAUCAACUGGUAAUAACCAUUGAUUUUCUUAGAGUUGAACGUGCCAUAUUGAUAGUUUACAAUUGACAUUUUAGUUGAUAACUUCCCAUUGGCUUGCUUUCUUACACAACCUAUUCGCAUUACAGUAGUAUAACUUUUUUUCCCUUAAAAUUCUGGUAGAUUUUCUGAAGGUGAACUUGCUCCAUUCCGUUCAGGACUAUGGUGAUUUUAGUUGCAUUUUGUAGCCUUUCCACUGAUAUUGAAACUUUAGCAAUUGGAUGCUUGGAGAAACAUGCACUAGUGGGUCAAAUACGUGGUCGGUCUGGAAAAUUAUUAAAUAAAACCAAUAUAUGUAAAUGCUUUGAUUCUUAUUGUUGAUCAUGGUGGGAUAUGCAUGGUUCUGCCAUGAUUCAAGGUAGAAGUGUUUUAUUGUACAUAUUACUGUUGUUCAGUCUCUUGCAUGUUUAUGACUUGCAUUUUGUACAUCUCCAAGGUAUAUGUUAGUUGCUGUGUCAUCUGUGUGAGUGAUUAUUACUUAAGAGCAUUAGAGUACCAACCUAAAUCAUUUUCCCUCGAGUUUAUAUGAACCAAAAAUAGUUUAAAUGUUUCGCUUCCUUAUUUUUAGCAGAAAGACUAUAAAAAUCCAUUUCACCAUCUUUUGACGUUGAGUUUGCACUUUACAUUAGCAGUUUUCUUGCAAAUUUCAUACACUCCAUUGGAAGCUUGCUUUGGAGUUAUUUAUAUGUUUAUGUGUUGAAGGGAAAGUGUUUCAGCAUUGAGAUGAUAUUUUAGGUGUUGGUGCUUCUUGGAGAACCGCAAAUGUGGAGACUGGAUCAACUGUUGCCAUAUUUGGGCUGGGAUCGAUUGGUUUAGCAGUAUGAUCUUAAAGAUCUUUCUACAUUUUCUUUUCACUUCUUUUUUUUCCCAUUAUUAGAUGUGAGGCAGCAGAUAUACGUUCACGGCUACUGGUUGUUCUGUAGGUUGCGGAGGGUGCAAGAUUAUGUGGUGCUACUAGAAUUAUAGGCGUUGAUAUGAACCCCGACAAGUUUGAAAUUGGGAAAAAAUUUGGAGUCACAGAUUUCAUCAGUGCUGGAGAUUCUGGGAGCAAAUCUGUGAGCCAGGUGAUAAAUGAGAUGACCGGCGGAGGGGCCGACUACUGCUUCGAAUGUGUUGGCUUGGCAUCCUUGGUUCGUGAAGCAUAUUCUUGCUGCCGAAAGGGUUGGGGAAAGACAAUCGUCCUAGGAGUGGACAAACCAGGAGCACAGCUGAGUCUUAGCUCUUUUGAUGUACUUCAUAAUGGGAAAAUCCUCACAGGAUCCUUGUUUGGAGGUCUCAAAGCUAAAUCUGAUAUUCCAGUUCUACUAAAACGCUAUAUGGACAAGGAACUUCAAUUGGAUGAGUUUGUAUCACAUGAGAUAAAGUUCGAAGACAUCAACAAAGCUUUUGAUUUGCUCACCGAAGGAAAGUGUCUCCGAUGCGUGAUUUGGAUGGACCAAUGAGUAUGUUAUCCUGUACGUUCACUGCAAAAAUUCUCUGCUGAGGAUAUGCGGCAUUAUUUCUUAGGUGUGCUGGGCCUGCUGUUCAAAUAAAUCAAGACACAGUCUAUUAUUGGCUUCUUGCGUUUUUGAAGCCGCAUGUUAGAACCAGCAAGCGUUAUAUUGUUUUCAAUUGAAAGGACAUGUAUUGGAUACUGAUUGCUUCUAAGACACUGUAAAUGCACUAGCUGCUCGGUAAAAUAUUUGACCGGGGAUCUGUUUUCUUAAAUGACCCAAAAUGCCGUAGCCAGUGAAACUCUAGAACUAGUGUCACACCUUACCUUCUGUAAGGCGUAACAUGAUCUCGUAAUAUACCUAAUGAACUAUCGAACUU
rnacentral:misc_RNA from 1 species